GAAAGCGGUGCUAAUACCGGAUAAUAUCUUUUAAUCCUUGGAUUGAUAGAUUAAAGGUGGCCUCUAUAUAUAAGCUAUCGUUUGAGGAGGAGCCCGCGUACCAUUAGCUUGUUGGUAGGGUAAUGGCCUACCAAGGCUACGAUGGUUAGCUGGUCUGAGAGGAUGAUCAGCCACACUGGAACUGACACACGGUCCAGACUCCUACGGGAGGCAGCAGUGAGGAAUUUUGCGCAAUGGGGGCAACCCUGACGCAGCAACGCCGCGUGAGUGAUGAAGGCUUUAGGGUCGUAAAGCUCUGUCAAGUGGAAAGAAUCUGCAAAGUGCUAAUAUCAUUUUGCACUGACGGUACCACUGAAGGAAGCACCGGCUAACUCCGUGCCAGCAGCCGCGGUAAUACGGGGGGUGCAAGCGCUAUUCGGAAUUAUUGGGCGUAAAGAGCGCGUAGGCGGUUUUUUAAGUCAGAUGUGAAAGCCCGGGGCUUAACCCCGGAAGUGCAUUUGAAACUGAAUGACUUGAGUAUGGGAGAGGGAAAGUGGAAUUCCUGGUGUAGAGGUGAAAUUCGG
rnacentral:rRNA from 1 species